GUACUGGCUUUGGAAGCACAUAUACUAAAAUUGGAACAUACAGAGAAGAUUAGUAUGGCCCCUUCAUAAGAAUGACAUGAAAAUUUGUGAAGCAUUCCAUAUUUUU